AUUAAUAUUGUUGAUGUUGGUACUUUGGCCGUCAUUGUUGUUGUUUUUCUAUAUGUCAUACGAAAGAGGACGCACGAAUAAAGCAAAACAGCAGCCAAAAGCAACAACUGUGAUUAAAACCAGUUAAUAUUUCAGUGAUAUUUUAAAUGAAUUGAAAAGAUUUGUUGUUAUUCAUAAAGAAAAUAUCAUGGGGAAAUCUUUCACGAAACGAAUUAGGUACAAUUCUCAUCUCUAUCGCAAUCUCGAUCGGCUCUUAAAAGCCGAACAGGAUGAUGAGCUCCUACCUUGCGGAAGUGCUAAUGUUACUCUUCAAUUGCCUAACGUUCAUGAUGGUUCCACGUAUGAGCUGGAUGAUAAUCAUCUCACACAAAAUGCGAAUAUGGAGAAAAUGGAAAUACUCUAACAACAGAAUACGGUGAUGGAGCAUAUGACAAUGACGAUCUUGAUGAUAGCAUUGACCACGUUGUCGAUUAUCUAACUGAAAGUUCUGAUGAAGAGCUAGAAGAUGAGCUAUCUACAAAAGAAUAUUCGGUACAAGAUGCCUUACAUCGCUGAGCCAUAUCCAAAAACCCAACGUACGAGUCGAUCGAGGAAGUAAUGGAGAUAAUACGGAAACUAAGUGACUGCAAGCUACCGAAAGAUGCAAGAACCUUGCUAAAGAUCAGCCGCAACCCUUCUGCGGAGAUACAAAGGGUACAAGGAGGACAGUAUUGGUAUGAUGGAGUCCAAAAAUGCUUUUCGUACGGGGAGUCCAGAUCAACGCCACAACUCUACAAUAGACAACCGGAAUAAACCAACCCCCAUCGAGGCCAUAGUCACAACAAUAGAACUGGACCAAAAAACCUUCAACACACACACAAACAAUAGUAAUGGACAACAACCACCCAUCUUCCGUCACAACCGAGCAUGCACGGGAUAUGGCAAAUAACUAGGAGGAAAUGCCUAGUUAAUUUUUGUUAAUUUUUGUUAUACUUGUUUUUUCGUGAAUGUAAUUCACAGUCACCACAUGCAAAAUGCAAAAUAACAGUUUUCUUUUUUUAUUCAUGAAGAACGGCCUGGCCGUAUUACUAAAAAAAUAUCAAUUAAUAUGAUUUAAAGUUUUUUUUAGUUUGGCUUUUUAUGGUCCCAUUAUUUAAAAUAAUGCUACUUAAAUUAUCUUUCAAAAUAUGUAUAAACAUCCCUGGUACACUUUGUAUAACAUGGACGGGAGCUAAAUAAAUGUUGGGGAAAAUGGGUCUUUUUGCGACACAAAUUGCUUUGAGAGCGUCAUGAAUUUCGAAAAUAAAAGAUAAAAGUGCAAAAAUUUGGACAUAAUGUGAAACACCAAAGAAUAUUAGAAAUAUUUUUUUCAGGUUUUUCCUUCGGUCAGCGGCUGCUACGCACACCCCUCUUUUACUACAACAAAAGCGCUUUUAACUGUUUAGGAACAAGACUAGCGAAACUAUCGAUCUUCCUGAAAGAUUUUUUAUAGUUAUCUCGUCUUCCUUAUCCUCUUAUCUCUAUCUCUUUCUGUCAUGCCCAAAACUAUACACAAAACGUACAAUUCAAUACAAAGCAAUCGAUAUUUUGGUUUGUAAAGUGUAUGUUACUUAGCUGUAACUGUAACUGAACAAAUAAAAACAGUCAAAUGGUUUCAUAUUUUA